CUCGGCGGGGAUGGGGGACGGGGGGGGAGCUCCAAGUACCGCGCGCCAAAAAGAACGCGGCGGCGCUGCGCACACGGAUAUAUACACACACAACGCAAUACUGUAUAUGUGUCUGCUUCGGUGUGACGAGGGCGCGCGCGCGCACGAGCAAUCUCGUGCCGCCGCCUUAAGACUACUUUUACGUUCGACAUGUAUAUGAGGGAAGGGAAGGCAAGGUGUUGUUGCUUUUGGCGCGCGUGCGCGUUAUCAUUGGCUGGCGCCUCCCCCCACCACCACCGCCGAAUUUCUACGAAAAAUCGUCUGAGCGCACGAGAUUAGAAACUCCUUAAAGAAACUCUUGUUACUUCACCGAUCUUACGUUGGGGCGGGGCCCUGUCACGUGCCGGUGGCGGGGGGAAGUCCUGGUUGUGUCGCGGUUCUAACUAAGACGCAUGCGCCUAGAGGGAUACGGAUACGCGCGCUCCCUCGCGCGCGCUUUCAAUUGUGCCGCGGCCCUGCCCCUCUCCCUGUUUCUCCCCAAGCGUUGGAAUGGAAUGGGAGGGGCGAGGCUGAAUGGAGCCCCGUGCGCCUGCGCAGAGCGAGAAACCAGAGUAAUUUUGUUCUAUCCCCUUGAAGCGGCAUGGGGGAAGAGCGGUUUUUCCGUGGGGGAAAGGAGCUCGAGGCACACGCGCCCGUUGGCGAACUCUCCUUUGCUCGGCUCGCGUUCACUCUCCACCGACGCUGAGAUAUGUAGUGUGCACGUGUCGCCCGCUGGCUCUCCGGACGCGCGGAGCUGCGUCCUUUUACCACAGGAUCGCAGCACAGCCGAGCCAGCCGCUCGUGGCAGCGCGAUGCUCGGCCGUUGGCGCGCCUCGCGGCCAACUCAGCCCUCCCGCGCGCUGCUCGCGGGCGCCUCACGCGGGGACUUUCCCCGCACGAGACUGCCUUUUGCUCCCGGGCCUGCUGGCCUCUGCCUGGCGGGAUCCCUCCCCUCAGGAGCACCUUUCCUUCCCCUCGGAGGCGCCGGUGGAGCAGCAGAGUGGCGCUGUUUUAACGACCACACGGGGCGAGCAUCCUUGUGAAUGAGGCGGAGGCAGGAACCUGCGUGUGGCUCGCCUGCCCCCACACCCACCCAGAGGGCCUCGGCUCCCCCCCUCCAUGGGCGCUCUCCCUUGGGGGCAAGCCCGUGCGGAAUGACGCGGGGGUCGCUCCCAAGCCCAGCACGCACGGGCUUUCUCUUGGUGUCCCUGAAGUCUGGCGUGCACGGCGGCCGCCGCACAAAAACAGAAGCCGACCGCGGCCCCGUUGUCUGCAUCCCUUAAAAGGGGUGGGGAGUCGCGCUGGGUAGGCGCGGACCGUUGCUUUUCCAUCCAGGACCGCCCUCUCUCUCCAAGCGCAGAAGCCCGUCCUCGCCUUCCUCCCGGCUCUUGCAUGCUCGACCAAGGAGGCAACUUGGCAUACGAAACGAAGCCCGUCACCUGCUGCUCCUCCCCCCCCCCCCACGAGGUUUUCAGUGCUUAAACCUCUCCUAAGCACCCGCCGCCUCUUUCAGCCAAGGACGGGUGUUACCUGAACCUGCAACUGUCAUUGUGGUCCGCGGAAUUUGCAAGCCUCCAGACCGCCCUCCCUCACCCACCCAAACGGGCUGCACGGAUUCUCCCUUCUCUUCCCCCACCCGCUUCUCUUUCUCAGGGUUUCCAACGCGUACCGCAGCCGCAUCGACGCCACAAGUUCUCUCUCCUUUUAAAUUCACCCCUAUUUACAUCAAAUUUACGUAAAUGAACAAGCCUCAUGGAACUCAAUGGCUCUUACUUCUGAGUAGACAUGCAUAGGAUUGGGCUAGAAGCUCAUGCUCUGGACACCUCCUCCCUUGACUACUGCAAGCCUCCUUUCUCAGACUUUCCCUUGUCGUGCAUCAAACCUCUCCUUGCCUCAGAACUCUACUGCCAAAAAUGAUAAACCUUUCUAGUCACUCAAACUAUAGGACACUAUAUUUAACUAUAUUUAAGUUAAAAUACUUAAAUUGGCUUUCCAUAUCACUUAUGUCCACAACAAACACCUUCACCUGCAGUCCUGUCAGGCUUCCUGUGUGUAUUCUCAGGUAGAUAGGGAACAACUUGCAGUAACUAGUCCUGUGUACACAGUUUCUCACCUGAAUCAAAUGGCUGGAGCUACUUAAUGGGAAACUAACCCCCCCCCCAAAAAAAUAGGAGGUAUUUUCUAAUUUGACAGCAUAACAUGUUUAAAAGUGGUCUUCUAUCUUUGUAAUUUAAUUUAAACAUUUAAUAUGGGUUCAAAACCAUAUAUUACAAUGAAAUUGCAGAAUUUUACACACAGAUGAAUGCAUUUUAUUAAAAUACUGGAACUGAAAUAUAGACUGCUUUACUUUAUGGCAAAAGACUAAUAUUUUUAAUCUUUAAUUGUCACUGUCCUUCCUACCUCCACCCUUUUUAUUAUUUGGCCUUCACAAACUUAAGCAGAAGGUGGUACAAAUUUUCUCUGUUUCCUUUCACAACAGAGCAGUAGGACAUGGAAUUUUAAAACAUGCUGUCUGUGUUAGCAUUUUAAAAAUGGUUAGGCAAUGGCAGAAUGUUUGCUUGUUCUUUGAAUACAAUAGGAUUUUUACUAUCUAACUCCUAUUUAUAUUUAUGUCUGUUGGGAUUUCAAAAACAGUUACCCUAAUAAAUGUGUUCCAGUUUUUAUUGUGCUUUGUUUUCAAGUUGUCCAAUUUGAUAUGUAAUUGAAUCCAAUAAAGUGAUCUACAUUUCA